AUUGAACGCUGGCGGCAGGCCUAACACAUGCAAGUCGAGCGGUUGACGGGAGCUUGCUCCCUGAUUCAGCGGCGGACGGGUGAGUAAUGCCUAGGAAUCUGCCUAUUAGUGGGGGACAACGUUUCGAAAGGAACGCUAAUACCGCAUACGUCCUACGGGAGAAAGCAGGGGACCUUCGGGCCUUGCGCUAAUAGAUGAGCCUAGGUCGGAUUAGCUUGUUGGUGAGGUAAUGGCUCACCAAGGCGACGAUCCGUAACUGGGCUGAGAGGAUGAUCAGUCACACUGGAACGGAGACACGGUCCAGACUCCUACGGGAGGCAGCAGUGGGGAAUAUUGGACAAUGGGCGAAAGCCUGAUCCAGCCAUGCCGCGUGUGUGAAGAAGGUCUUCGGAUUGUAAAGCACUUUAAGUUGGGAGGAAGGGUUGUAGAUUAAUACUCUGCAAUUUUGACGUUACCGACAGAAUAAGCACCGGCUAACUCUGUGCCAGCCGCCGCGGUAAAAC
rnacentral:rRNA from 1 species